AAAAAAACCGCAGCAGCGGGAGGAACCAAAUUGUUCCUAGUUCAGGUUGCCGGAGAAAACCUGAACUAGGUGUUGUGGCUGGCAAGCGGAUGUGGCAAAUUAUUGAGCAUCGACGAAACCAUCCGAUUCAACCGAUUAUGACCGCUGUUUUAGGCCAUCGGCGAAGAUCCUACAGAAUUUUCUGUCCGGAUUGCCAUUUUUUCAAAUAUUUCGAUGUUCCCGCGCCAGAUUCAUCCAGGCGGCCACUGGCAUCUUCUAACCUUCCCGUCUUCAUCGGCGCAACAAAAAUCGGGAGAGCCACCAGAUUGAACCACCAGGUCCAGCCAUGUGUGAUUUUUUACUGCAGGCAGCAAAAAAAAAGAGUGUUUAUUUGUGAAGUGAUGUGUUUUUGUCAAUAAAAAAUUAAUUAAUUUCAAUUCAACGCCAUGAUGAUUUUUGUAGUUUGGUUACUGGCCACCAGAUGGCAACGCAUUUCCCUGAGCUCAAAAAUGGCCACCAGAUGGCAGAGUCAUCAAGAAAUACUACACCACAGACACCAACCCAAAACGUAGUACCAUUUUUAUCCGCUAGAGUGCUUCAAUUUCUAAACCGCGUGAACAAACGUUCACGAUUUGCGAUUUGUUCAUGGAAAGUGUUCAUGGUACGUUCUCGUACCAUGGAAUAUCACGUUGUUCCCGAUUUCGUGGUACAU